GACGAACGCUGGCGGCGUGCUUAACACAUGCAAGUCGAACGCUGAAGCUCAGCUUUUGUUGGGUGGAUGAGUGGCGAACGGGUGAGUAACACGUGAGUAACCUGCCUCCUUCUUUGGGAUAACGCCCGGAAACGGGUGCUAAUACUGGAUAUUCACUGGUCUUCGCAUGGGGGUUGGUGGAAAGGGUUUUUCUGGUGGGGGAUGGGCUCGCGGCCUAUCAGCUUGUUGGUGGGGUGAUGGCCUACCAAGGCUUUGACGGGUAGCCGGCCUGAGAGGGUGACCGGUCACAUUGGGACUGAGAUACGGCCCAGACUACUACGGGGGGCAGCAGUGGGGAAUAUUGCACAAUGGGCGCAAGCCUGAUGCAGCGACGCCGCGUGAGGGAUGGAGGCCGUCGGGUUGUGAACCUCUUUCGCUCAUGGUCAAGCCGCAACAAUGGUUGUGGUGAGGGUAGUGGGUAAAGAAGCGCCGGCUAACUACGUG
rnacentral:rRNA from 1 species